rnacentral:rRNA from 1 species
UACGAAGGGGGCUAGCGUUGUUCGGAAUCACUGGGCGUAAAGGGCGCGUAGGCGGCUUUAUAAGUCGGGGGUGAAAGCCUGUGGCUCAACCACAGAAUUGCCUUCGAUACUGUAGAGCUUGAGACCGGAAGAGGUAAGUGGAACUGCGAGUGUAGAGGUGAAAUUCGUAGAUAUUCGCAAGAACACCAGUGGCGAAGGCGGCUCACUGGCCCGAUACUGACGCUGAGGCACGAAAGCGUGGGGAGCAAACAGGG